GAAGCUGACCAGGCAAUCGCUGCUUUUCUAGACUGUUUUAUUUUUAUACUAUGAAAAUUGGAGUAUGUUGAUAGUUAGUAAGUAUAGAGAAAGGAGAGGAAAGUCCGGGCUCCGUAGGACAAAGUGCCAGGUAACUCCUGGGAGAUGUGAAUCUACGACAAGUGCAACAGAAAAAAACCGCUAAAUGUUAUUAUGAAAUUAAUAAUAAAAGUAAGGGUGAAAAGGUGUGGUAAGAGCGCACCAUACAAUUGGUAACAAUUUGUAGUAAUGUAAACUCCACUUGGAGCAAGGCUAAAUAGAAGUUCUAUAGUAUAGUCCGUACUGAACUUGGGUAAGCCGCUGUAGUUUUUAUGUGAAUAAAAACAUAGAUGAAUGAUUGCCCGUGACAGAACCCGGCUUAUAGGUCAGCUUAUAUA
rnacentral:RNase_P_RNA from 17 species